GACGAACGCUGGCGGCGUGCUUAACACAUGCAAGUCGAACGGAAAGGCCCUGCUUUUGUGGGGUGCUCGAGUGGCGAACGGGUGAGUAACACGUGAGUAACCUGCCCUUGACUUUGGGAUAACUUCAGGAAACUGGGGCUAAUACCGGAUAGGAGCUCCUGCUGCAUGGUGGGGGUUGGAAAGUUUCGGCGGUUGGGGAUGGACUCGCGGCUUAUCAGCUUGUUGGUGGGGUAGUGGCUUACCAAGGCUUUGACGGGUAGCCGGCCUGAGAGGGUGGCCGGCCACAUUGGGACUGAGCUACGGCCCAGACUCCUACGGGAGGCAGCAGUGGGGAAUAUUGCACAAUGGGCGGAAGCCUGAUGCAGCCACGCCGCGUGCGGGAUGACGGCCUUCGGGUUGUAAACCGCUUUCGCCUGUGACGAAGCGUGAGUGACGGUAAUGGGUAAAGAAGCACCGGCUAACUACGUG
rnacentral:rRNA from 1 species